rnacentral:tRNA from 1 species
GGAGGUGUGGCUCAGUGGUAGAGCACUGGCCUAGCAUUCAUGAGGCUCUGGGUUCAAGCCCAAGUACCACCA